rnacentral:rRNA from 1 species
UACGGAGGAUGCAAGCGUUAUCCGGAAUGAUUGGGCGUAAAGCGUCCGCAGGUGGCUGUGUAAGUCUGCUGUUAAAGAGUCUAGCUCAACUAGAUACAAGCAGUGGAAACUACACGGCUAGAGUGCGUUCGGGGCAGAGGGAAUUCCUGGUGUAGCGGUGAAAUGCGUAGAGAUCAGGAAGAACACCGGUGGCGAAGGCGCUCUGCUAGGCCGCAACUGACACUGAGGGACGAAAGCUAGGGGAGCGAAUGGG